UCGCCCUUAGAGUUUGAUCAUGGCUCAGAUUGAACGCUGGCGGCAUGCUUUACACAUGCAAGUCGAACGGCAGCACGGACUUCGGUCUGGUGGCGAGUGGCGAACGGGUGAGUAAUACAUCGGAACGUGCCCAGUUGUGGGGGAUAACUACUCGAAAGAGUAGCUAAUACCNCAUGANAACUGAGGUUGAAAGCAGGGGAUCGUAAGACCUUGCGCAACUGGAGCGGCCGAUGGCAGAUUAGGUAGUUGGUGGGAUAAAAGCUUACCAAGCCGACGAUCUGUAGCUGGUCUGAGAGGACGACCANCCACACUGGGACUGAGACACGGCCCAGACUCCUACGGGAGGCAGCAGUGGGGAAUUUUGGACAAUGGGCCGAAAGCCUGAUCCAGCAAUGCCGCGUGCAGGAUGAAGGCCUUCGGGUUGUAAACUGCUUUUGUACGGAACGAAAAGCUUCGGGUUAAUACCCUGAAGUCAUGACGGUACCGUAAGAAUAAGCACCGGCUAACUACGUGCCACUCAGCCGCGGUAAUACGUAGGGUGCCAAGCGUUAAUCCGGAAAUUACUGGGCGUAAAGCGUGC
rnacentral:rRNA from 1 species